rnacentral:rRNA from 1 species
GACAGAGGGGGCAAGCGUGGCUCGGAAUUACUGGGCGUAAAGGGCGCGUAGGCGGGAUGGCAAGUCGGUCGUGAAAUCCCUCGGCUCAACUGAGGAUCGUCGAUCGAUACUGCCGUUCUUGAGGAUUGCAGAGGAGACUGGAAUUCCCGGUGUAGCGGUGAAAUGUGUAGAGAUCGGGAGGAACACCGGUGGCGAAGGCGGGUCUCUGGGCAAUUCCUGACGCUGAGGCGCGAAAGCGUGGGGAGCAAACGGG